GAAACGCGAUAGUUAAUGUGAAUUGCAGAAUUCAGUGAAUCAUCGAGUCUUUGAACGCACAUUGCGCCCCCUGGCAUUCCGGGGGGCAUGCCUGUUCGAGCGUCAUUACACCACUCAAGCCUGGCUUGGUAUUGAGCGCCGCGGCCUGCCCGCGCGCUCCAAUGUCUCCGGCUGAGCCGUCCGUCUCUAAGCGUUGUGAAUAGCGAUCGCUUGCGAGGCCCGGGCGGUUCGACGCCGUUAAACCCCCCAUUUUCUAUGGUUGACCUCGGAUCAGGUAGGAAUACCCGCUGAACUUAAGC
rnacentral:misc_RNA from 1 species